rnacentral:lncRNA from 1 species
CGGGAAGUCUGUUCCUUGCAGACCCCUGACCACGCGAUGAAUGAAUAAAGUACACUGACACACAGAUAUUCUGCUCUGCCAGUCCAGCUGAGGGUCCAAGCCCCUUACAGGCUCCCUGCUGAGCCCUGUAAACAGUUGCGACUCGGCAGGGAGCCUGUAAGCACCUGGGACCCUCAGAAUAUCUGUGUGUCAGCGUACUUUAUUCACCGGUCAUUGGGUCAGGGGUCUGCAAGGGACAGACUCCCCACAGCUGGUGACCCCUCGAGAGGAGCCCUGCCCCCAGCUGGUGCCCCAUGUGAGGCGCUGUGUGAGGAACUGUGUGAGGAAUGCUGUGAAGGAAACGCGACGAACCGCCCGAAAACGAAGACAGACAGAACAGCAUGUGGAGACUCACACAGUGAAAUUUUCCUCCAAGAAGUACUGCAUGAACAUACCAGGAAAACCAAAAGAAUUCACAGGACCUUUGAAAGAAGUGGCUUGCCGCUGCAAACUCCAUGAGACAGCUGAAAAACUGUGAGUGCCCAAAGUGGCAAAGCGGCUGAGAUCUUUGAACUCCCUUUGAACUUUGAGAAUGGUGACUGGAAGAUGACAAUUCAUGUUGUUUUCAGGAAAGCUAUGACCGAGAAACCAAGGAACUCACUAUCUUGUCCUCUUGGAUGCCAGCUAUAAAUUGAAUCAAGUUGGACACCGGAAUUUUGACCACUUUCCACCUUUCUAUCGUGGUCAGGUUUCUUCAUGAGAAGAGGAGAUUCGGUCACAGGCAUGUACAGAAGAAGACUGUGUGAAGACACAGAAGAAGUUAUCUACAAACCAACGAGAGAGGCUUCAGAAGAAACCAACAUUGUUGACACCCUGAUCUUGGAUUUCUAGACUCAGGAAUUAUGAGAAAAUAAAUUUUUAUUGUUUAAGCCACC